rnacentral:rRNA from 1 species
CAGUAGCCACGGUAAUACGUAGGUGGCAAGCGUUGUCCGGAAUUAUUGGGCGUAAGGGGCUCGCAGGCGGUUUCUUAAGUCUGAUGUGAAAGCCCCCGGCUCAACCGGGGAGGGUCAUUGGAAACUGGGAAACUUGAGUGCAGAAGAGGAGAGUGGAAUUCCACGUGUAGCGGUGAAAUGCGUAGAGAUGUGGAGGAACACCAGUGGCGAAGGCGACUCUCUGGUCUGUAACUGACGCUGAGGAGCGAAAGCGUGGGGAGCGAACAGGAUUAGAUACCCCAGUAGUCCCUGUCUCUUAUAC